AACAAUACUUCUUUGGUGCAUGAGGUUGCUCAUUUGUACCAUUUCUGAAAGCUCACAUUGGUCCUCCGGGAAUACAUUUAGAAGCUGAAGAUAAAGCAAUAAUAAUACACAUCUCUCGUCCUG